GUUAAUUAGGGAGCUUAACAACAUUUUUGUCUUACCAUAUGGAGGGUUAGGAAAAGAUUCCAAUAAAAUAAAAUUGAAUGUAAUUUCGGCCCAAUUUCGGCCCAAAAAGAGUCACAUCUUCUUCGCUUUGGACCGCGUUGUGUGAAUACGUUUUUCUAAAAAAUUUGUAUAAUUUGAGAUAAGAUAUUUAUAGUAUGUCCCACC
rnacentral:lncRNA from 1 species